rnacentral:lncRNA from 1 species
CAUGCCAGAUGACUGUUCUCCGGCCUUGAUCGCUCGCUCUCGGCAUGCCUCAGCGCUUCUCGGAGGCGCAGGCAGUUCCGGUGAUUCUCAUCUCCGAUUCCAGAUCAGCGCCGACGGGAUCGUCUCUGUUUUCUGUGAGUUUCGCCCCUAUUUUUGUGGAUCCUUUGAUCUUCUUGUUGUUCUUCUUUGGAAGAUCUUCUAUCGGCUUAGUGUUGUGCCUGCUAGUUUUGUGGAAACUUCGCGGCGCGGUUCAACUGUCUCCUCCUCGUCCGGAAGACCUAGCGCCGGAUGCGAUUGGGGUUGGAGGAUGGGACUCUCUCCCUCAUCCUGACAUUUUUCUGCUUGAUAUCUGAUUGGAAGACUUGUUGUUUCGCCGUUUGGAGAGUUUCUCGUCUGUUCUGCUCCCGGAAUGUUGGAAUCCCUUGGUUUUUUAGGGUUGAUAGCCAUGGGAGCUCCUUUCUGGAGACAUCAAGGCUUUACUAGAAUUGUCGCAGGCGUGUGUAUCCCUUGGUUUGGUGCUGGGAGGAACAGGUUCCUCGCCCAUCUUGCUUCUCCCGGUGCAUUUCAUAUGGCCCUGGAAAUUCCCCAAGAGGAAGUUGUGACCCGUCGGCGCACAUUUGAGUAGUCCGAGAAUGGGUGUGUGAAGAACCGAAAGCCCUUUGGACCAUGACACAGCUUCCAAGUUG